rnacentral:rRNA from 1 species
CCUACGGGAGGCAGCAGUAAGGAAUAUUGGUCAAUGGGCGCAAGCCUGAACCAGCCAUGCCGCGUGCAGGAAGACGGCCCUAUGGGUUGUAAACUGCUUUUGAACAAGAGAAAACCUCGGUACGUGUACCGAGCUGAUAGUAUUGUUAGAAUAAGCAUCGGCUAACUUCGUGCCAGCAGCCGCGGUAAGACGAAGGAUGCAAGCGUUAUCCGGAUUCAUUGGGUUUAAAGGGUGCGUAGGCGGCCUGAUAAGUCAGUGGUGAAAUCUCUCAGCUUAACUGAGAAACUGCCAUUGAUACUGUCGGGCUUGAGUACAGAUGAUGUGGGCGGAAUAUGACAUGUAGUGGUGAAAUACUUAGAUAUGUCAUAGAACACCGAUUGCGAAGGCGGCUCACAAACUGUAACUGACGCUGAGGCACGAAAGUGCGGGGGAUCAAACAGGAUUAGAUACCCUGGUAGUCCGCACCGUAAACGAUGAUUACUCGUUGUUGGCAAUAUGACCGUCACGCGACCGACGACGAACGACGAGUAAGUAACUACCACCCGUACGGGGUAGGUACGGACCCGGCCGACCGGUACGGUAACGUACGAAACGGUAAAGUUAGUACGGACGUUGAGACGACGCCGACGGACGACCGACCGACGGGAGGGUAGGGAG